rnacentral:tRNA from 1 species
GGGGUAGUGGCUCAGCGGUAGAGCACUCGUCUGGCUCACGUGAGGCCCUGGGUUCGAUCCUCAGCACCACA